rnacentral:pre_miRNA from 1 species
AGGACUGUCCAACCUGAGAAUGGUGAGUCCAGGGUCCAUCUCAGGCUCGUCAGCCCGUG